ACGCUUGGAAAGCGCCGCAAGCGUGCCUAUGUCUGAGAAGCCGGUUCGCCGGCUAUGGCGAUAAAGGAUUGCGUGCAAUAGAUGCAGCGGACCCGGGGGCAGUACCCGGCGGCUCCACCAUCAACCGCCCUCGCCGGCGGAUGUUGACGGGGCCGAACCAGGAUCGACGUGUGUUGAAAAGCGCUGUCUUUCGCUCGGAAUGGGACCACCGCAACGGCCCAUUACACAAGUGCCAACGAUAACGAAGCACUCGCGAUUGCGGCGUAACUGAGGGCCUAACGGCCUGACGUUACACCAAAAUAGCGCGGUUGGACCGCACC
rnacentral:tmRNA from 1 species